GUCUGUUACAGUUACACCUCUAGGUUAGUGUCUGCACGUUCUUUUGGCGCUUGCACCUGAGCAUAGGAGGCUGCGUUAUCCGCUUGAGAGUAAAAGAGAGCUGUGCCUGAAUCCACUGUUGUCACGGAGCUAAAGGCAGUGAAUUCUGCUAAAAUGGUCAGGUUUUGGUAAAGAGUUGGAAACAUCGUGCGGAGAUCCUUUCCACGGAAUGAUACAGAUCCCCACAUUCCAGGCGUUCUCCCAGAGAUUCAUAGAUUCCCAGUCCGGGGGGCUGGGUGGCGAGCCAACCGUGUUUGUGACUCUGACUUUAGACGGAUUGCCAGGAUCUUCAUCUUCAGGGUGGUAGGACAAACACUAACACGAACUCAAAAGGGCCCAACGUUGGUGACUGAACUCUUGUCAACAAAGGCAAGUGAAACUGAGGACGAACUAAGCUCAAGGGAAUUUAAAAGGGGAUUUAUUUACGUGCGCACUUUAUUAUUUUAGUUUGUUAUUUUUUUCAUAACUGUUUUUUUGUAUAUGUAUGUACCAGCCCAUGUGUGUUUAAUACAUUUUAUGCAAAUUGUCA